rnacentral:tRNA from 1 species
AGAAGUAAAGAUUUUAAGUUAUGGCUGCUAACUGUGACUUGAGUAGGUAAAGCUAUUCUUACUUUUA